CCAGGACCCUUCUAUCCAAACCACUCCAUAGCUCUGUGACCUUCCAGGACCCUUCCACAGCAACCAGUCCGUAUCUCUGUGACCUUCCAGGACCCUUCCACCUCAAACCUCCCCAUAUCCCUAUGGAGCUCUAUGGGGUCACUAUGGGGUUCUAUGGGGUCACUAUGGGGCUGUUAUGGGGUCACUAUGGGGUUCUAUGGGGUCACUGUGGAGCUCUAUGAGGUCGCUAUGGGGCUCUAUGGGGUCACCGUGGAGGUAUAUGGGGUCCCUAUUGAGCUCUAUAGGGUCGCUAUGGGGCUGUUAUGGGGUCCCUAUGGGGCUCUAUGAGGUCACAAUGGGGCUCUAUGGGGUCCCUAUGGGCCCUAAUGGGGUCAUUAUGGGGCAGUUAUGGGGUCACUGUGGGGCUCUAUGGGGUCACUAUGGGGCUGUAAUGGGGUCUCUAUGGAACUCUAUGGGGUCACUAUGGGGCAGUUCUGGUGUCACUAUGGGGCUCUAUGGGGUCACUGUGUGGCUCUAUUGGGUCACUGUGGGGCUCUAUGGGGUCACUAUGGGGCUCUAUGGGGUCCCUAUGGGCCCUAAUGGGGUCAUUAUGGGCCUCUAUGGGGUCACUAUGUGGCUCUAUGGAGUCCCUAUGGGGCUCUAUGGGGUCAUUGUGGGGCUCUAUGGGGUCACUCUGGGGCUCUAUGGGGUCACUAUGGGGCUGUUAUGGGGUCACCGUGGAGCUCUAUGGGGUUACUAUGGAGGUAUAUGGGGUCCCUUUUGAGCUCUAUGGGGUCGCUAUGGGGCUGUUAUGGGGUCCCUAUGGGGCUCUACGGGGUCACUAUGGGGCUCUAUGGGGUCCCUAUGGGGCUCUACGGGGUCACUAUGCGGCUGUGAUUGGGUCAUUAUGGAGCUCUAUGGGGUCACUAUGGGGCUCUAUGGGGUCCCUAUGGGGCUCUAUGGGGACACUGUGGGGUUCUAUGGGGUCACCGUGGAGCUCUAUGGGGUCACUCUCGGGCUCUAUGGGGUCAUUACAGAACUCUCUGGGGUCCCUAUGGGGCUCUAUGGGGUCCCUAUGGGCACCAAUGAGGUCUCUAUGGGGCUGUUAUAGGGUCUCUAUGGAACCCUAUGGGGUCGCUAUGGGGCAGUUAUGGGGUCAUUAUGGAGCUCUUUGGGGUCCCUAUGGGGCUCUAUGGGGUCACUGUGGGGCUUUAUGGGGUCAUUGUGGAGCUCAAUGGGGUCGCUAUAGGGCUGUUAUGGGGUCCCUAGGGUGCUCUAUGGGGUCCCUAUGGGGCUCUAUGGGGUCACAAUGGGGCUCUAUGGGGUCCCUAUGGGCCCUAAUGGGGUCAUUAUGGGGCAGUUAUGGGGUCACUGUGGAGCUCUAUGGGGUCAUUACGGAGCUCUCUGGGGUCCCUAUGGGGCUCUAUGGGGUCACUGUGGGGAAGUUAUGGGGUCACUAUGGGACUCUAUGGGGACACUGUGGGGCUCUAUGGGGUCACUAAGGAGCUCUAUGGGGUCCCUAUGGGGCUGUUAUAGC
ensembl:lncRNA